AGAACAAAAUAAAAGAGAGGUAAUGGGCAGUAGGGAGAGAGAUCUUUCUCAAAGGGAAAGGGGAGGGAGAGAUAGAGGAGGGAGGGAAGGAGCCAGGGGAGGGAGAGGGAUGACAACGGCAGGUUUGUUACGUACAGUCCCUUCGCCACGGGAGGAGCGCAGUCACGAUGCACUGCAGACGUGGACGAAACGUGCAAACAGAGCGUCGCCCGGCAGGACUUUCAGACUUUCAGUUCCGUCCAGGAGGCCCUGUGCCGCUGGGGGGCGCUGUGGGAGUGAGGGCCCUAGAGGCCGGGUGCAGACGGAGUCCCUGGCCCUGGCCUGAUGGCCACAGUCCCGGUGUCUGUGGGGCCCAGCCGGGCGCCUCCGCUCCUCGGCCAGGCCUGCGGGGCAGAGGCCAGCGGCGUGCAGCGCUCCGGCCGCGCCCCGCCUCCCACCGCCUCUCCUCCGCGUGCCAGGGACCCGGCAUUCAACCCCCGCAGGAGGGCCCGGCUCCUCAGGCUGCGGUCACGGCUUACACCGGCUCCCGGAUGCUCAGUUUCCCCGAACGCAUGUCAGACGAGCACGCAAAACCCGGUGCAAAGAGCUAGAACUGCGUCACAGAAGUGGCUGCCUGCAGUGUGACGCGGGUUCGGGUUCGGGCUGAAGUUCGGGUUCGAGGUCAUCACAGAGCAGCAGCGGCCUGGCGAGUUUUAGUAAAUAGUCACAGGGCGCAGCUCAGAAACGAGGAGUGGCCCGAGCCCCCGUGGCCGCAGGACUGUUUGCGAGACUCGGCCUGUGUUCAGCUGAAUGAUUCUUGCGAGAACUUCUGCCCCCAGUCCACUGAUCGCUUCCUUACAGCGAACACCUACCUAGGACCAACAGUGCCUGUCUGUCGGAAGGUAAAGGUGGUGGCAACAGGAUGCUGCCCGUGCUCCAGCGCUGGGCCUCUCCUCUCCGACUCUGUAAGCAGCCAUCCCGCGGGAGGGUGACACUCACGACAGAACGAAGGCCGAGGGCUGUUCCAUCACCUGCGGUCCUCCCACCGAGCCUACGGAGUCUUUCUGCGGGCGCCUGGAAUUGUGCGCGCACCGUUUCCCGCUUCUCUGCACGGCACAAUCAAGUCCCGGUGGGGUGCAGAGCGCACUGACUUGGACAACGCUUUUAAAGAUGUGACGAGGAUUGUCAAUUUGGCACGAUUCACGUUUUAGGAGCAGGCAAUCCAAAAAUCAAUUCAGCCUUCUCACAUCAUCUGAAAGAGAUUUUAUUUUUAUUGCAAAACGAGUAAUUUUCUUAUGUAUGUUUUGGCAAGGUACUUAUUUGGUGAACCAAGCAGGGAGGAAGUUAUCCUUCCAAAGAUGCUUUUCUUUAAAACUUUCACACUUCUUGUACAGUCUUUCCUUCACUAUCAAAUACAUUUAUUUCUACGAUCUUAUUUCCUGAAAAUUCCCGCAUUAAGUUCUUUAUUAAAAACAUCAGAUAAAAACCAAAUAAAAAACUUACAGAUGUGCUCACACAAAGUGAAAAUAGAUAGAAAA
rnacentral:lncRNA from 1 species